UUUGAUGCAAUGUCGUGUUAGUGAGUGGUAUAUUUCGCUUUCCUUGUUGUUUGGGAUUUAUAUAGAAAGUGAUUUACUUGACCUGUUGGAUACAUUUUAAAAGUUACAGAAAUCAUUGAAAAUAACUUUAUUAAUUUUAUUUUCGGAUUCCUAUAUAAAUUCUAUACAGAUGGUAAACAUAUAUUCAACUAAAUGCAUGCAAUAAAAUGACAUCAAAAUGACAUCGGUAGAGGCGCAGAAAGAUCUUACAGGUUCCUCGUAUCUACAAAAUUCAAUUACAAAUGAAUCACAAGAAGAAAAUUCACAAUCAGCAAAUGUCCAAAAAGGACAUAAUCUAAUUGAUAACAUUAACAAGGAAACAAAUAAAGUUGCCAUUGCGGAUACAAAGGACGACAUUAAAGAUGCACAGGAUAUUACAAAUUCUGAUCAAAAGGAAAGUAAAAAUAAGGAAGUGAUCAUUUUAGAAAACAUUAAGAAAGAAGUAAAAUGUAAUAUAAAUAAAAUAGAACGUAGGCAGAAUACAGGGAAGUUGGAUACAAUUUCUUCUGUUUCUGACAAUGACUUUAAGUCAAGUAAAAAUGAAAAUGUAAAAGAAACUGUGUUUAAAAGUGGAAAUAAUUUAAAAAGGACACGACGAAAUGUUAGUAUACAAGAGACGGAUGUUUCCUUAGAUGAAAAUAAUUUGAGAAAUAAGCGAAAAAGGAGAAAUACAAAUGAUAAAUUUUGUUGGCGAUGUCACAAGGAAUCUGUAGAAGCACAUUGCAGUGCUUGCCCUAGAUCAUGGCAUCGAAAAUGUAUAGGAAUGCAACAGUCGAUUAUUCAAAAUUGGAUAUGUGGGGAAUGUGCAGCUAUUUUACAGGCAGAGAAUGCAGAGACACGUUCUACAGCUAUGGCACAACUAUCUGUUGACCAAUUAUGUUUAUUACUGAAACAUGUAGUCGACAGAAUGAGAGAAUAUCCUGGUUCAGAACCAUUUUGGAAACCAGUGGAACUUUCUGAGGCUCCAAAUUAUUUAGAUUAUGUGGUAAAGCCAAUGGAUCUGAGCCUUUUAGAAUCGAAUGUUCGGGCUAAAUUAUAUGGUAGUACAGACGCAUUCAUGGCUGAUGCCAAGUGGAUACAACACAAUUGUAUUGUAUUCAACACAUGUGGUGGUGUAUACACAGAUACAUCUAAAUUAACGAAUGCCGCGAAACAGAUUAUUAAAUUGGCACGUCAGGAAGUAUCAGAAAUUGAAGCAUGCCCUGAUUGUUAUGCUCAUGGCAGAAACUUACCAAGACCACAACCAGCAUGGUUUAUUGAACCCUGUCGUCGUCCUCAUCCACUUGUGUGGGCGAAGUUGAAAGGCUUUCCAUUUUGGCCUGCUAAAGCUAUGCCUCGAAUCAAUUCUCAAGGUUUCAUUGAUGUACGAUUUUUUGGGGAACACGAUCGAGCAUGGGUUCCUCCGCGAGAUUUGUAUCUAUAUUCCGAAAACCCACCUGCUCCAUUACCGAGGAAGAGAAAAUUAGAUAUGGUAGAGUGUGUUAGGGAAAUUACUCGUCACUGUCGCAAGCUAGAACUUGUGUUUGGCCAAUUUACAUUUGCGCCUCCCAAAGUGCAAUAUAAUCCGCAUGAUCCAAUGCAAAUAAAAUUACUGUUACCAAAUUAUGAUCCUCUUCAUUCUAAUAACUGUACAUCACCGCAACUCUUGCUUCCCAAAAAGACGCCGCUUCUUAAAAAGCGGGUUCAUGUAAAAAAUAAUUUGCAAACAAACUCGGAAAAAGCAGACAAUUCCGAUACUGAAAAUAAAAUAUCAAAUGAAUUUAACGUAACUAACAAAGGAAGCAAAAUUGAAAAUAAAUCAUUUAAAGCAGAACAAGAAUCUGAUAACUUUCACAAAACCGAAACGAUUACGAUUACAACUAAUAAUUUAAAUGAACCAAGAGAAAGAAAAAGGAAAGUGAAUAUGCAAUCAGAGAAGAAUAUGUCAGCAAAGUUCAAAGUGGUGAUGAAAGAAGAUAUAAAUACGCCAAGUACAAGUAAAACUAAUACAAAUAGUGCAAAUGAUGAGAAAUGUAUCAGUAAUCCAAUAAAAUAUGACACGAAAGCACCAAAUUCUACAAUAUUGAAACAAGAUAUUAAUCCAGAAAAUGCAACAAACAAUAAUGCAAAAUCCUUGGAGAAUUCAUUACAACAAGAGAUAAAAUCCCCGAAAAAGCAUAUAGCAAAAGACAUUCACAUAUCCAAAAAACGAAUUCCCUUUAAAGUGAACGUUAUUAAAAGAAAUGUCGGCCAAAAUGUAAAUUUACAGAAGAAUAAUUUUAGAAACCAUGAAAACACAGAAAAAGUAUACAAGCCAAAGACUAGAAUAGUCGAUAAAAUGAACGCUGAGAAAGCUUUAAAAUUUAUUACAACGGAACAAAAUCAAAAUAUGGUAGAAUCGACAAUUUUGAUUAAACGUCAGAAUGAUUCAAUGACGUUGAAAGAAGGCUCUAAAAGUGAUAAUAAUAGUAAUUUAACAACAUCGUCCAUUUCAGUACAAACUAAUAAAACAUCACUUGAUGUUGAUAUUAAUGGCGAUAUUGACAUUAAUAGAAGAAAUACUACAGAUCAACCUGUCGGGUUACUUUUCGUAGCAAAUGAUGAUAAAUCUAAUAUCACGAAAAAGUGUACUGAGGAAACUACCGAGAAUGAAAAAAAGAGCAAUAUUUCGGCUCACGUACAACAAAUUUUCAGAGAUUCGUUGAGAAUAAAAGAUCAACAAGUAAAGGAAAAUAGAGCUAGAAAAUCAUUUCCUAAUAAACCUCGUAAUUACCCGCAACAUAUUUCUCGUUCAUCGAUAAAUACAUUAUCCAGUCCGAUCGAGUCUACUGUUCAUACGUCUACUCAUCAGGCUGAAAAUUGUGUCGAGUACCAAAUGUUGCCCCCAGAAGCAGGUCCUAUUAGUGCCCGUUUAUAUCAUGAUGCUCAAGAUUUAGCCACAAAAAUGGCUAAAUUAAUGGAAGAGGCAUAUAAGGAAGCAGCGUAUGAGAAUCAAAAUUGUGAAAAUCGUAAUAUGUCCGAAAAUCAUCAAGCGUCAGUUCAUUUUUUAAGAUUACAGAUAGAACGAAUGAGGUGGCAACACCAACAACAAUUAACAGAAUUAAAACACAACACUGACAGAAUAUUAAGAGAAAUGAAGGCAAGCCUAGAAGCCGAACGAUUACGUGCUGUCGAGGAAACUCGUAGAGAAGCCGAAGAGGGGAUGUUACGUUGUAUCGAAGAAAUCAAACGUAAACAGUGGUGUGCAAUGUGUGGCAGAGAAGCAUUAUUUUACUGCUGUUGGAAUACUGCAUACUGUGAUUAUCCUUGCCAACAAUCACAUUGGUCAGUGCAUAUGAGAACAUGCGCUCAACAACCUUCGUUCACUACUAUUAUUACUAGUUCUACUGCAAAUUCAAAUCAGCAACAGAAUCAUAAUAUCAAAACAAACAGACUUACUAAUAAGACAUACGAACUGCCUUAUGACAAACAGCAUGAGAUAUCGUGAUUUUUAUCUUUGUGUUGUUCUGAAACUGAAGGUAAUGGAAAUUCAUCAUAGCAUAACGCAAAGUUGGAGAGUUUGCCAUAUCUAAACUUUUCCUCGUAUAUCGUUUAAAAUACUAUAAAUAAAUAAGUAUUUGCAAAUUUAUCAACUUCUAAGAAGUAUCAAUUAUACCUAUGAAUUUUUGAUAACCUCUACAAUACAUAUCAGCGUUAAUGGUCCAAAAGUGUAAUAUAUGAAUUAAAAGAAAUCAUUAAAAAGGAAAAGAUACACAAAUACGAUGAAAUGAUGUUUAAAUCUCUUCUAUUGGUAAUUAAUUACAUAUCUCAUAGGAUCGUACUAAAUUUUUUGUGGUUUGAGUUUGUUUCAGAAUCCAUUGUGAAAUCGACAGAAGAAGACUCCUAUUGGUUGUAUUCCAUAUACAUACAAUAUAAUGUCUUACGUCCUCCCUUACAUAGUCUCCCAUUCCUUUUUAAUAGUAUUUAAUUUUUUAUAUAUAUAAGUAACUAUAUUCAUAUACAUAUAAUAUUCAUAUUGCAA